UACGGAGGGGGCUAGCGUUGUUCGGAAUUACUGGGCGUAAAGCGCGCGUAGGCGGACCUGCAAGUCGGGGGUGAAAGCCCGAGGCUCAACCUCGGAACUGCCUUCGAUACUGCGGGUCUCGAGUCCGGGAGAGGUGAGUGGAAUUCCUAGUGUAGAGGUGAAAUUCGUAGAUAUUAGGAAGAACACCAGUGGCGAAGGCGGCUCACUGGCCCGGUACUGACGCUGAGGCGACGAAAGCGUGGGGAGCAAACAGG
rnacentral:rRNA from 1 species